AAGUAUGACCCUUGAAUCUGUCACAGAUAUAAAUAACCCUCUUUGCCAGUAUCUCAACUUCCAGUCCAUACCUCCAAACUUUAAAGGCGUCAACCACUGCUAAAUAAGACAGGUUUCACUACAUAAAGACAGGUGGUCACAAGUGUCGCGGUUUUUAGUGUUCCUUUUUUCUUUGCUCUCUAUUUUAAGUCACCUAGGUAUAUGGCUUAUUUUUAAAAAGAACGUUACUGAAACAUAAUUAGCAAACCACAUAAUUCCAUUUGAUGUGUACAAGUCACUGGGUUUUAUUUAGUACAUUCAGAGCUUUACAACCAUCAUCGUGAUGGGUCUCCGAACAUUUUCAUCAGCCCCAAAAGAAUCCUCAUGCCCAUUAGCAGUCACUAUUUCCCCAUUUCCCUCUCUCGCUGGUUCCCGGCAUCACUCAUCCACUUUCUGUUUCUAUAGAUUUGCUUAUUCUGGACAUUAGAUACAAGUCGGAUCGUAUAAUACGGGGUCUCGUGUGACUGGCUUCUUUCCCUUGGCUACACGCUGGAGCUGUAGCAGUGCUUCAUCCUUUACGUGGCCGCAUAAUAUUCCACUACAUGGAGUCAGUGCUACUUUUGAAUGUCUUUCACAAACCCACGAAAAUUCAGGCUGUGUCCCAGCACAUCAAUCCCUGUGCUGCGCUGAUGAGGGGAUAGAGUCUACACAGCUGGCUUUGUUGAACGGACAGUCUUCGCCCAGCAUCUCAUGAGUAAAUCUGAGGGUCCAAGAGGGUAAGUCACCUGCCCAAGAUCAGAGAGCCAGCAAGCAACACAUCUCAAAGGACAGAGGUCGGUCCAAAGACUGUGAUCUUGGUCUUAAGUAGCCCUACUAGAACCCGGCAGAGCACUACAGAGUUCACAUCCAGAGCUUCCAUCCCUUCAUCCCCUGACCACUAAUCCUCCAGGAGAAGAAGGAGCUCAGAGCUGCCCACAGGUAUCCCCCUGCUUCCAAGCACUAGGCUGGCCUAGGCCUGGCUUAUGUAAGACACUUGGUUCUUCCCAUGGGCAGAUUCAGAGAAUGUCCAAUUGCACCGUGUAGCAAGGUGCUCACCCAGCCCAGCUCAGAGGCCAGUGUUCCCACCACCUACCAUCGAUGUUGGGGGGCAGGUGGCUCAUCAUGGACCCAGACUCGCAGGCUUCAAUGUAGAACACCAUCUGGGAGGUGAACGAGACAGGUGAACUCACCCCGCCCAGGCACAGGCCUCUCGCAAAUGCUACUUUGACUUUGCGCACUCUCUGGACAUGUUUCUUUGAUUGUUUUUUUUUUUU